GAGAGAUGGYUGAGUGGUUGAYAGCCCCGGUCUUGAAAACCGGUAUAGUUCUUAA
rnacentral:tRNA from 1 species